CAAGUCUGUCGCCCCCUGAAGCAUUCAUAACAUACACAUCAAAUAGUGUGUUUGGAGAAUUAAAGAGACAGUUUCAUAAUAGAAGAUCCAUCAAUGAGAUGUGCAGGGACCAACACAAGACUGCAACUAUGCUUUCUGACGAGUUGAAGAUAUACUGGGUGACAGGUUGGUUGAAUUUCUGCUUGCUUGCUUAAUGUAGGUUCUACGUUAGACAUUUAUUGAAUACAUUCAGGUUGGUAAGAGUUUUAUAAUGUUGUUAAAUUGACAAUUUAUUAUCCAGCCCUACAGACGAAUACUUGUGUUUUGGAGGUACUUUGCAAAAGGUAACGCGAAAUGGCAAGACAAGUGGUCCACC